rnacentral:rRNA from 1 species
GAAGCCGUUCUCAGUUCGGAUCGGAGUCUGCAACCCGACUCCGUGAAGCUGGAUUCGCUAGUAAUCGCGCAUCAGCCAUGGCGCGGUGAAUACGUUCCCGGGCCUUGUACACGCCGCCCGUCACACCAUGGGAGCCGGUAAUACCCGAAGUCAGUAGUCCAACCUCGUGAGGACGCUGCCGAAGGUAGGAUUGGCGACUGGGGUGAAGUCGUAACAAGGUAUC